AUCUGUAAACUUCUACACGUCUGAAUAUUGAUCCAGGUUUUUCCAAAACUCUAAAGGAUUCUGUUUGAUGGGGUCAAAUUUUCCAAUAUUCUUAAUCACAGCUUCUAGUUUGUUUGGAUUAAAUCCUCUGACCAUUGUGUGUCAUUGGUCCUUCCCCUUCACUAUUAUGCAUGGUAGUAGUGGAGUGAACUGGUGCCAUGGGAAAUCUAACUGUGCAGUCAGAGUGUUGACUACUGCUAAAUGGGAGAGAGAAUCUCUCUCCCAACCCCCAUCACUGACUUCCUGAAAACCUGAAACUCUGUUACAAAGCAUGGCACCCACAGAUCUCUCACUGGUGUUUUUCUCAACUGUACUAUUUAUCAGAAAUUGACAAGCAGCCUGUGCUUCAUCCAACUCACGGGACAGUGUUUCAACGGAUGAUCUAAGCAUGCUAUUGUUAGUUUUAAGACGUGCGAUCUCCUUCUGCAUUCUGAUCUUUUCCUCUUUCCAGAUCUUUUCACUAGCCUGGUACAUUUUAGUAGAAAUUAAGCUGUGACUGAGUCUAGAAUGAAGCCUCCACUUCAUCUAGCCUUCACUUAGUCACUUUAUACGAGGCAAAAACCGCUUGAAGCGCAUUUGCAACUUUUCCUUUUUUUAUUUCUAGGCAUUUUGGGAUAAUUUUCAAACCGGGAGAUAGCCCACUCAUACGGCUUAUCAGCAACAUUCUCUAUCCCGUCAUACAUUCCCUGUGAGCCGUGCUUGGUAUUUAACGAUCAGCUCUUCCAUUCUCAAACCUUAUUGAAUUAUGUACUGCAAUUCAAUAGCUAUUCACCCCUGUUCAAUGACUACACGUUAUCUAGCUACUUUAAGAUAUCUGUUAGUCUAUUUAUUCACAGCUCCAGUACAUCUGAUGUAAACAAACAAAACCUUGAUCUCUCAGUGUUUCUUCGGGAUAACAGCAGAGUCGGGAGAUGCAGAACGUUUGGCAUCAUCGUGACAAAUGCUGAUUCUCACAGCUCGACAUAUUUUUUAUGAAGUUUUUAUUGCUCUACAAGACACAAACUCCUCGUUUAUUCCUUCCUUUCCUCUUUUACUACUUUUUUUUUUAAACUUUUUGUUCCGAUUGUCUUUUUUUCCUGAAUGUUUGGUUAGAACUUUCUGGAACAUGGCGCUAAUGCUAAUUUAAUAUGUUCUGUCAGAAAGCCCACACAGUUUGCAGCAUGCUGUGGACCCAAACAAAUUCUUCCACCUGCCCCCACUGUUAAUUUCCCUACAGUCACCCCAAACACCACUUUCCCCCCUGUUCCCACCACCACUUUACCAGCAGCACCACCACCAGCAGCAGCACACGGCUCGUUCCCAGAGAUGCUGCAGAACUGGCAGCCGAUGGACGAUAUGCCAUGUGAGUGUAUUCUUCUGCUUUCUGAUUGACUUUCUUUUGUAGGUAUUAAUUUUGUAGAACAUGUUUCCUCACUUCCCUUAACACAGUGUUCUCUUGUAGUGCUGCCAGGCUGUCAGACUUUACGAGGAGCCUCCGGUAAUCAUCAGAACCAGGUAGGGCCAGCCGUGAUUUCCACUCAGCCAUCUUACUGGAAUUGUGUAGGUUAGGAAUAAGACUAAGGAUGGAGUUGUAUAGUUUUGUAGUGUGUAUCAUUUGUAAAUAUUGUUAACUUCUUUAUCAUAGCCAUGCUGAGGGAGGUGUUGACUAAAUUAGAGAUGGUGCUGGACCAACAAACCACUGAGAUUGCUUCAACUACAGGAGGUCCAGAUGCAGCCUUUAGAUAUUAAUGAAGAUUUACUGCCCCUGCAAGAUCUUCCUCAACUGCGUAGUCUGGAGCAAAGGAUGCAACAGAGCCCAGAUUACAAGCAAAAACUGGUGAGAAUUUUUUUUUCUUUUUUGUUAAGAAUUGCUUGCACAAUUACACAGCGACUGAGAGCAUUUCUUUUUUUCUGAAAAGGACACACUCGUACUCAAAGCACAAUGUUCAACACCACUUUGAUAUGAGGGAACAGUUAUGACCUAAUCUUUGGUAGAAGAGGAAAACAUGGAAAGCACACAGGGCAGGGUAACUGCAAAAGUAGUGAGAAGCACUGACACAGUUGACGAGGCAAUACACGUUUAUUAAUUAUUUAUUUUUAUAUUAUUGUAUAUUAUUUUUGUUUUUUCAAUCGGUUUCAGGUAAACUGGUUAGCGUGUAUUGACGGGGCGGAUGUGCUCGACUACACCUGGCGCAUAUUGAAGAGGGUGAUUGCUAACUCCCUGGAAAAAACCUCAAUUGGAGGGGAGUCAAUGGAAAGACUUCACUGUCCGCUCUCCAACUCGGAGAGGUCGUGAUUGCUGCGGUUCAUAGAAACCUCUUCACGGCUAAAGCUGCAGAGAUGGAGGUCGAGGGGACCAUGAAGAGGUGGCUCCAGCUGGCAUCAGAUCGAGAGUGUGGGCGCAAGAGAAGACUUUUGCAAAAGGAAGAACACCAAACUGAAGUGUCACUCGAGAAUGUACUGAUGUUUGCUACUGGCCUGACAUCACUUCCACCUGCUGGAAUAGCACCGCUACCAUGCAUUGUGUUUUUUCCAAUUCACCCUUCCCAUUGGCAAAUACAUGCACAAACACCCUCAAGGUGCCACUCCUAGACACGUGUCCCCUUCUCUCUGUACCACGUUCUAAAUAUUCAAACAGCCCAAGAAAGAAAAUUUGCUGUUUUCUGAGACGAUGAAGUGGCUCUUAAAAGAGCCUUUGUGUAUAUUAGACGGAGUUGUGGUUUACACGCGCUCUCCGCGAAUACGCCGGGCCAGCUGAAUAUCCUUGGGCUUGAUGGUCACUCUCUUGGCCUGCGUUGUCUAGUUUUGACAUAUCAAAAACAAUACACAGAGCUUCUGAACUGUUUACCAGCAGUAUUAUUAUUAUUAUUAUUAUUAUUAUUAUUAUUAUUAACUUUUUAAAGAACAUACCCUCGAUUCUUGACAUGGAAAUGUUGUUUGUAAAUUUACAUUGAAAUAAUAUAUCCAUAUAUCUGUCCAGCUGCUUUGUGACAAUGUCCAUUAUUAAAACAUGCUACAUGAACAAACAAAAUGGUGGCCGUGG